rnacentral:tmRNA from 1 species
GGGGGUGAUCUGGUCUCGACGGGGGUUGCAAAGCAGCUUGGGGCAUGCCGAGGCGCUCAGUCCUCGUAAAACUCUGGCAAUCGCAAACUUAACUGCGAACGACGAAACGUACGCUCUGGCGGCUUAAUCCCGCCGGACCUCGCACCGGGGGGCGCUCAGCCCGGGUGAUCUAGCCGAGGGACGUAAGUCCCGACAGCGAAUCACGGCGAGGACAUUUCGAGCGAUCGCGUGUGCCCGGGUCACUUGGGCGACACGCUAAAAAUAGGUGACUGGUCUCGCCGCUGUAUGGCCGUCAACGGCGUCGGGAUGAGAGCACAAUGACUGCCUAAGCAUGUAGUCCCGACUGUAGAGUGCUUCCGGACGCGAGUUCGAUUCUCGCCACCUCCACCA